rnacentral:rRNA from 1 species
UACGGUGACCAUGUCGGCGGGGACCCACCCCUUCCCAUCCCGAACAGGGACGUUAAGCCCGCCAGAGCCGAUGGUACUGCGAAAGCGGGAGAGUAGGACGUCGCCACCC